UACGUAGGUGGCAAGCGUUGUCCGGAUUUAUUGGGCGUAAAGGGAGCGCAGGCGGUGACUUAAGUCUGAUGUGAAAGCCCACGGCUUAACCGUGGAGGGUCAUUGGAAACUGGGUCACUUGAGUGCAGAAGAGGAAAGCGGAAUUCCAUGUGUAGCGGUGAAAUGCGUAGAUAUAUGGAGGAACACCAGUGGCGAAGGCGGCUUUCUGGUCUGUAACUGACGCUGAGGCUCGAAAGCGUGGGGAGCAAACAGG
rnacentral:rRNA from 1 species